AUUGAACGCUGGCGGCAGGCCUAACACAUGCAAGUCGAGCGGGGGUAGCAAUACCCUAGCGGCGAACGGGUGAGGAAUGCUUGGGAAUCUGCCUGGUAGUGGGGGGAUAACGUUCCGAAAGGAACGCUAAUACCGCAUACGUCCUACGGGAGAAAGGGGGGGAUCUUCGGACCUCUCGCUAUCAGAUGAGCCCAAGCCGGAUUAGCUAGUUGGUGGGGUAAAGGCCCACCAAGGCGACGAUCCGUAGCUGGUCUGAGAGGAUGAUCAGCCACACUGGAACUGAGACACGGUCCAGACUCCUACGGGAGGCAGCAGUGGGGAAUAUUGGACAAUGGGGCGAAAGCCUGAUCCAGCCAUGCCGCGUGUGUGAAGAAGGCCUUCGGGUUG
rnacentral:rRNA from 1 species